rnacentral:rRNA from 1 species
GGAUUAGAUACCCUGGUAGUCCACGCCGUAAACGAUGUCUACUAGCCGUUGGGAAUCUUGAAUUCUUAGUGGCGCAGCUAACGCGAUAAGUAGACCGCCUGGGGAGUACGGCCGCAAGGUUAAAACUCAAAUGAAUUGACGGGGGCCCGCACAAGCGGUGGAGCAUGUGGUUUAAUUCGAUGCAACGCGAAGAACCUUACCAAGACUUGACAUCCUGCGAACUUUCUAGAGAUAGAUUGGUGCCUUCGGGAGCGCAGUGACAGGUGCUGCAUGGCUGUCGUCAGCUCGUGCCG